CCCGAUUUGCAGCUUUCCCAAUUUGCGCUUACAGCUGUUCUUCCUCAUUAAUAUUUACAUUAGGUGGUUUAUAACAUAUCCCAACCAAUAAUUGAUUUCCCUUUGUUUGCCCCAAGCAGAUAUCUACCCAUCAAGCUUUCACAUUUUCCUUGUCACACUUCACAUGCCUAAGAUUUUACUUUAACUCAUGGCUGACAUACAAACAU